CCUACGGGAGGCAGCAGUGGGGAAUAUUGGGCAAUGGGCGCAAGCCUGACCCAGCAACGCCGCGUGAAGGAAGAAGGCUUUCGGGUUGUAAACUUCUUUUCUCAGGGACGAAGAAAGUGACGGUACCUGACGAAUAAGCCACGGCUAACUACGUGCCAGCAGCCGCGGUAAAACGUAGGUGGCAAGCGUGAUCCGGAUUUAUUGGGUGUAAAGGGCGUGUAGGCGGGAGCGCAAGUCAGAUGUGAAAGCCCAAGGCUUAACCAUGGGACUGCUGUGGAGACUGUGGGGCUGGAGUGCGGGAGGGGCAGGCGGAAUGCCUAGUGUAGCGGUGAAAUGCGUAGAUAUUAGGAGGAACACCGGCGGCGAAGGCGGCCUGCUGGACCGUAACUGACGUUGAGGCUCGAAAGCGUGGGGAGCAAACAGGAUUAGAUACCCCUGUAGUC
rnacentral:rRNA from 1 species